rnacentral:rRNA from 1 species
UACGUAGGGUGCGAGCGUUAAUCGGAAUUACUGGGCGUAAAGCGUGCGCAGGCGGCGCGUUAAGACAGGUGUGAAAGCCCCGAGCUUAACUUGGGAAUUGCGCUUGUGACUGGCGUGCUGGAGUGUGGCAGAGGGAGGUGGAAUUCCACGUGUAGCAGUGAAAUGCGUAGAGAUGUGGAGGAACACCAGUGGCGAAGGCGGCGAUCUGGGAAGAUACUGACGCUGAGGUGCGAAAGCGUGGGGAGCAAACAGG